rnacentral:misc_RNA from 1 species
UACGGCUGCCGAUUGAUCGAGCUUGGUGCGUCCACCCCCCAACGAGCGCGCAAUGUCUUCGUACGAGCUGCCCGCCAACGCCAGCGAGGACGUGCUUAGGCUCAAGAUAGACGAAGUGCAAGGCAACCUGCAGUCUCUGAACAUAUCCAACUGCAUCGUCGCGCACCCGGCAGGCCUCCUGUCACUGUUAUCCGGCCUUCGCAAUCUAGAGGCGCUGUCCUGCAUUGCGUGUCCCCUGAAGCCGAGCGAUCUUCUGGACCUACUGCUGAGUUCAUUGCAGAACGUGACUAGCCUCGAAUUCUCGCUAGUCGAGGCUGUGAACGACGCAGCGAAGGAAGUAAACAAGAUACGGGACGUGGUGGGCGUGCGCAACGAUGGUAAGGUGACCAACAUUCGAAGGAUCUACCUUGAGGUCGCGGGCCCUGAGAACCUGCACGUGAUGUUUGCCUUCAUACAGUACUGUCCGUACGUGACGAACAUUCAUUUGCACUUCGUGGAGUACGCUCGAUUACAAAUAGGCGUUUUGGUGUUCUUUCGCGCCACUAGGCUCCUGUCAGGUUUACGGGAGUUCGCGACAACUUGCGAGUCGCGGGCUACGAUGACGCCGGAUCCGUGGCCAGCCAACGCCCGGACCCGCCUCGAUAAUCACGCCAACGUGGUGUUCAGGAUGAACCCGUCGAGAUGGAACUACGUCAACCUCUACGACCUCGCCGUUUCGCUUGACCGUACGCUCCCGGCUGCACCCGUGGUGAUCGUCGCCUUCGCCAGUCCAGAUCUAGACAGGUGCUUUACCUACGCCGGCCCGGGACGCAAUUGGAGCUGUUUGAAAAGCAUGUGCCUUUUGUAUAUCUCCGACCACCUGGACGAUGCCUUCUAUCCGACCGUCCACGGUGCGCACGCGCCGGCCCUGCGCAAUUUCUUCGCCAGGCUUACGAAUAUCGUCGAGCUUAACGUAAGCUCGGUGCACUUCGACGACGACAUCGACUUCACGACGCUGCUCCGUGCGUCCGCUCUAAGUAGGCUGAGCGCCCUGUCCGUGCCGCCCUGCGGCUUGCGUCAAAGGGGCGCGGUGCACCGGCUGGCCAUCGGCCUCAGGGACAUCCAGGAUCUGGACAUUCGCCUAAAGUGCGAGGGGCGCCACACCAGGUGCUACCACUGCAGCGGCGAACUGUCAGUCGACCCCGAGGACGCGAGCCUGUUUUGCGCCAGCUCCAGCCGUCUCACUCUGAGCGACGUGCCGAACCUGGCGUCCUUGACGUUCCUCGAGAGCUGCCCGGUGGCUCACCUGCGGUUCAUCGACAUAUCUGACGAACCUCGUUACGACUUCGGGGCGCUGUCGAGGGCUGUACGCAACAGCAGGACCCUGCGGUCCCUCGUCGUCAAGCUGUCCCACAUCGAUUUCAACAGCGAAUCCUUCGAGAGCUCGCUGUCCCCUGCGGAGGCUCUGGAACGCCUGUGCAUCCUGUCCAAGACAAAGCUAAGGUCGCGGAAAGCGCAGCGGAUAGUCAAAGCAAUGGCCUGCCAUAUUCCAUCCAUCUUCUACUUGCACAUCCACUACGUGAACAUUGAAACGAACAAGGAGACCAACGCGACGUGGAUUCGCCUGCCGGAAGGCGAUACUGGGGGCCAGUCUUUUCGAGGAAAGCCCUGCAUCAUGUGCUCCACGCAGACGUUCAUCGCGCUCAUAAAGCCACGUUGCCGGGAACUCUAGACCAAACUGCAGGCGACAAGAUCUCGCAUUUGGCCAACGCGAGCACAAACUCGCACUCUGUGGCGAUACUUCAUCCACUUCGACAUUUCGGUUGACUUUUAUGUGCCAGAUUGACCAGUUUUAACUGCGAAAUAGUCGGGAUUUUAAGGCUAGCCCACAUUGUGCCUUUUAACACACGUGCGGUAGCCCCAGCUUUUAUCUUGACACUUCCGUGAAGCCGUGCAUUUGGCGCGGUAUCCUUACUCAUGUACAAAUUGUUACGCGACGGUAUGUAGCAUCAUUGCAAUAAAACAUGAGUGUGCAACGCU